GGCGGCAUGCUUAACACAUGCAAGUCGAACGGCAGCAUGAUCUAGCUUGCUAGAUUGAUGGCGAGUGGCGAACGGGUGAGUAACGCGUAGGAAUAUGCCUUAAAGAGGGGGAUAACAUGGGGAAACUCAUGCUAAUACCGCAUAAUUUCUUAGGAAAAAAGCUAGGGACCGUAAGGCCUGGCGCUUUAAGAUUAGCCUGCGUCCGAUUAGCUAGUUGGUAGGGUAAGGGCCUACCAAGGCGACGAUCGGUAGCUGGUCUGAGAGGAUGGCCAGCCACACUGGGACUGAGACACGGCCCAGACUCCUACGGGAGGCAGCAGUGGGGAAUAUUGGACAAUGGGGGCAACCCUGAUCCAGCAAUGCCGCGUGUGUGAAGAAGGCCUGAGGGUUGUAAAGCACUUUCAGUGGGGAGGAGGAUUGACAGGUUAAGAGCUAGUUAAUUGGACGUUACCCACAGAA
rnacentral:rRNA from 1 species